UUCCCUGAGCUGUGAAGAAGGGGAAUUGAUGGAGACAUCCCAUUCAGGGCUGAAUAUUCCAAGGUCUCUCACUCCCCACAAUUUCCAGUUGUGGGUCUUUGCAUUUAUUCCCAUCUGAUUCAAGAGGAAGCUUCCCUGAUAAUGACUAAAACUAUUUUCACAACCAGUUUUUUAACAGAUUCAGAGCUAAACGUCCAGACCUGAAGCACCUGGAAAAAUGGAUUGUAACAUUUGCACUUCACAAUGAAAUGCACCGAAAGCUAAAAUGGAUUCAAGAAUGAGCAGAAGAGCCUGUCGGUGGCUGGUGUGUAAUAAAACAAGCAGAGCAGGUUUGGAUUAUGGAAAGCGUCUGUUCACUAAAGG